AAAAACUAAAUUAAUACCAAAUACCUUAGUUGUGAGAGACGGAGAUCAACUUGUCCCUGAGAAUCAAAACUAGGUAAAAUAACUUACACGCCACGAACGCACCAAACGUCUUCGCAGAGAAAAGUCUUUCCACGUCCACGGCCACGAAAACUAGCGAAUGUGUCAAAAACAUGAAUGUGAAAUGAAUGAGAGCCAAGUCAAGUUCAAUAUUAAGAACACAUGUCGUUGUUGACUCGCCGACAAAAGAAUUGAGAUCUAUAUAUAUGGGUGCCAAGUUCUGCGCUAUGUAGAAAAUCCCGAAAUUAUAAAGGAUUUGACUUGGCUAGUUUUUACCAACAAACCUUUUGAAACGUAACAUAGACAAAAUAGCCUAUACGUAUAAACUACAUUACAGUUCCUUUUUCUUUCAAAUUGGCUGGACACGCUACCGCGUGUCUAGAUUUAUAGGUGAUAUUAAUCAAUCUGUCUCUAAGGAAGUCAUCUUAUCCGACUUCAUUACAAAUAAUUUUAUAUGAGAAACAAACUUCGCACAGUAAUUACGUCAUAGUAAGCGGGUGGUCAGUAUAAGCGGAGUAUACGGAUUCCACUGUACAAUUUGAUGAAGGACACGUUCUACUUGGCUCUAUACACCAAAUCCGCAAGCCAUUUGUUAUUUAUGCAUGGUCUAAUACAAUAAUUGGGCGGUUCAUAAGACGAACGGUACUUGAUCAAUCGCGCUAUAAAAAUGUGCCAAUGUGUGUGUGUUUAGUUUUUAGACGUAUUCGUCUAAAAACCAAACUGCUUACAAUUAGCAUACAAAGUCGGGUGCUCAAUUCAUUGUUCAUUUUUUUUAGGUAGGUAAGUAUUUUAUUUCGCUAGUAUUUCAGUCUACUUUAAAUGCUUAUGAAGAUGAGAAACAUGUAAUAUGUUGAUACCAUGCCUCAAUAUUAUACUUUGUCAGGAAUCGUUGGCGUAUCAUACUAACGAAAGCACAUGAGAUCCUUAAAUAGUGGCCAUUGGACAAAAGUGAUUACAUUUCUGAUAAUGUGCAAACCUGCGAGUUCAUUCCAGGAACCACCAUAGAUCUCAUCUUCCCCCUUUCGUCCUCAUCUGAAGAUUGAUGGACAGCAUCGCUUCAAUCCCGUUUCCGAAAUUAACGUUCUUUGGACUUAUUACUCUUAAUAAUGAACUCUAUGAUGGCUUGCCGGCUCUGCUUACGAACUCUACUCAGAUAUCACAACAACUUAACCCCCUUUGCUCUAUUUGUCAUAGAUGGCAUACUUUUUAGUAUCUAAAAUUGCUGAGUUGUGACCCUUUUAUGGCAUUCUGCGCUAAAUGUAAAUACAUUGUAUUGUCAUGUUUCUGUCAUCCGUGUUUGUUUUGACAUAAAUAAAUGUAUUUUCUUUCUUUUGUACAAAAUGCAAUACAUGACAUAUUUUAGUCGUUCUCCGACAUACUAAUAAAUUGUCUAGCAUCUUUCACCAUAAUGACCGCUGGCCUCGUAGGGUAUAAGAAAAUUGGAAUUCAGUGCAUAGUGUAAAGUGGACGCAAUGGACCGUGCUUACUCCCAGUGACCGAGGAUUUGCCAUGGCAGGAGAUUGUUGGUCUGGCAGCAACAAAAGACAGAUAACAGGCGGUUGCAGGAGACGUCGCGCUCUCGCGCUGCGGACGAGCGGUAAUCCACACAAUUAGACGUCGAGCACGCCCCACCGCCUGAUCGAUGAGCCAAAUUAGCCAGCCAUUUCAUAUUUCUGCAAGGCCUUGUUUUGGUGUGAGUGACGCAGCAUUCAGAAGAAUCUGGAGGAGUCGUUCCUGUUUGGCCAAGCAGUUAUGUUACUAAGAAGUUUCGCGCUUCGAGUACGUUUCCAGUUCCAAGGUCUGGAUCUGAAUCCAUCAAGAUUCGUGGAGUUCCUUCAAUUCCUUACGGAACUCAUCGGCAAACUGACAGACGGACAACAGAGUGAUCAUAUAAGGGUUCCGUUUUUUUCCUUUUGAGGCACGGAACCCUAAAAACAGUCGAAUUGACAAUCUUUUUUUAAGUCGGUUAAAAAACCUUAUGUACAGUUUAGCCAUUUGGCACACGCAUACUAGAGGUCAAAACCGAGUUUUGACCCGCAGUUCUUAAAAAAAAUCCCUUAGGUGGGGAGUGCCGGGUCAUUAUUUUUUUUUGUAUGGAAAAAAAAUAUGUUCAGAAACCUAUCAUGUGGUAUCAUUGCAAAUUCAAAUUCCUUUUAGUACAUUUUUUCUUCUUUUCUAUACCAAUUUGAUGUUUUUGUUAUUUUAAUAACCUCACUAAUGUAAUUCUAAUACAUUCACUGAGGAUCAGAGGAGGAGGAGGAGGAUUAAAUUAGUCACUCGAGAGUUGUCGAGUGAAAUGUUGCGUUUGGAGUUUCGCCUUCAGGUGGCAAUUCCAUUUUUUAUAUUUUCUAAUAUUUAUGAAAUAUUUACUAUUAUAUUGUCUCUAGUUUUGUUCUGAAAUUUGGCUUAAAGGGUUCUAAAGUACAAUAAAAUCAAUCGUUUGUGGUAUAUUGUACAAAAAACAAAUCAGCCAUAUCGGACGAUCUGGAGGAGCCCAAACUCGGUAUGUUUUGUUUUUUUUUUUUUAAUGACUGAAAUGUAAUAAUGUGGCAUAUUUCUAGAAUCGCCUCAGAAAGCCCUUUCACACGAUAGGUUUCUGAAAAAAAUUCUUUUUCCAUAGAAAAAAAAUGGCACUCCCCUCCUAAGGGAAAUUUUUUUUAGGACUGCGGGCCAAAAAUUUUGUUUUGACCUCUAGUAUGCGUGUGCCAAAUAGCUAAACUGUACAUCGAUUUGCGGUUUUUUUAUGCGUACACCUUAGCCUCCUAAAAACCCUUUAGGUUAAUAAAUUGCACACAUUUAAAGCUUUCAUCAAAUAGAUCUGUCAUUUAAAUAUGAUUGAUGACCUCGGCGUUAUUUUGUUUAAAACAUAAUGCCUGCGGCCGUUCCGCUAGUAGAAUGGCAACUCCGUUCAACAGCGGUAUUAUUCCGCUAAUUAAUUAUUCAAUAAACCAUAUUGUAAAAAAUAAACUAGUGACUCUGAGAGCCUACAACCUCGCGAUAAGAUUUAUAAGCUUAAAAAAUAUAAAAACAAAACAUUCUGUGUUAUUAUCACAGCGUACUCACAAUGGUCGUAAGUAUUAUAGACCCUAAUGGCACCAAGUCCUUUAUACCGAUUUCCACCAUUUACAAAAUUUCCAAAAAACGAAACGACAGAAAAAUUAUAUCUAACUAUUGAACCUGCUUACAAAAUUCUACGAGAAUCGGUUGAGAAUUGCGACCUGUAGAGGGGAAAGCAGUUUGCCGGAGUCAUAGCGGAGAACUUCGCUAACGCUUCGUUCAAUAAGUAGGCUAAUAGGUAAACUUGUUAGCUGUAUUUUUCGUCUUCUCUAAACCUAAAGUAUCCCAAGUAUUGUUUAUUACAUUACAUAAAUGAAUAAUAUGACUUAUGAAUACAUAUUUACUGGACAA